UCGUGCUAAGUGGGGAGUUAGCGGUGCCUUGAAUCCGCCGUUUGGCGGAUGACCCGAAAUCCGCUUAUGCGGGACUGAAGGCUCCAUUUGAGACAGUACUUUUCAGGGGCGACAGUGAGGAGUUGAAGAGUGUUGAGGAUUGGGUCUUAUGAUGGUACCAGCUACAAACCCCGUCAGGUCUGGAAAGAAGCAGCGGUAAGUAGAAAUGGGCCGGUCAUAAGGAAACCUGGUCUGAGCUCUUCGCCUUUCUGUUCCUGGAGAGACUGGCGAAGGGAGUGCACGA
rnacentral:SRP_RNA from 1 species